rnacentral:tRNA from 1 species
AGACAAUUAGCUUAGUUGGUAGAGCGUCUCGCUUACAACGAGAAGGUCAAUGGUUCAAGUCCAUUAUUGUCUA